rnacentral:rRNA from 1 species
GAUGAACGCUAGCUACAGGCUUAACACAUGCAAGUCGCGGGGCAGCAUGGGGGUUGCUUGCAAUCCCCGAUGGCGACCGGCGCACGGGUGAGUAACGCGUAUCCAACCUGCCCUUCACCACGGGAUAACCCGGCGAAAGUCGGACUAAUACCGUAUGUUGUCCAUUGACGGCAUCCGAUUUGGACGAAAGGUUUGGCGGUGAAGGAUGGGGAUGCGUCCGAUUGCUGGACGGCGGGGUGACGGCCCACCGUGGCGACGAUCGGUAGGGGUUCUGAGAGGAAGGUCCCCCACACUGGAACUGAGACACGGUCCAGACUCCUACGGGAGGCAGCAGUGAGGAAUAUUGGUCAAUGGGCGUAAGCCUGAACCAGCCAAGUAGCGUGCAGGAUGACGGCCCUAUGGGUUGUAAACUGCUUUUAUGCGGGGAUAAAGUGGCCCACGUGUGGGUUUUUGCAGGUACCGCAUGAAUAAGGACCGGCUAAUUCCGUG